AGGGAACGCUGGCGGGAGGCCUAACACAUGCAAGUCGAACGGCAGCACAGUAAGAGCUUGCCCUUACGGGUGGCGAGUGGCGGAUGGGUGAGGAAUACAUCGGAAUCUACUUUUUCGUGGGGGAUAACGUAGGGAAACUUACGCUAAUACCGCAUACGACCUACGGGUGAAAGCAGGGGAUCUUCGGACCUUGCGCGAUUGAAUGAGCCGAUGUCGGAUUAGCUAGUUGGCGGGGUAAAGGCCCACCAAGGCGACGAUCCGUAGCUGGUCUGAGAGGAUGAGCAGACACACUGGAACUGGGAAACGGUCCCGCCUCCUACGGAAGGCCGCAGUGGGGAAUAUUGGACAUUGGGCGCAAGCCUGAUCCAGCCAUACCGCGUGGGUGAAGAAGGCCUUCGGGUUGUAGAGCCCUUUUGUUGGGAAAGAAAAGCAGCAGGUUAAUACCCCGCUGUUCUGACGGUACCCACAGAAUAAGCACCGGCUAACUUCGUG
rnacentral:rRNA from 1 species